rnacentral:rRNA from 1 species
GUCAUAUGCUUGUCUCAAAGAUUAAGCCAUGCAUGUCUCAGUACAAGCCAAAUUAAGGUGAAACCGCGAAAGGCUCAUUAAAUCAGUUAUGGUUCCUUAGAUCGUACCCACAAUUACUUGGAUAACUGUGGUAAUUCUAGAGCUAAUACAUGCAAACAGAGCUCCGACCGGAGACGGAAGGAGUGCUUUUAUUAGAUCAAAACCAAUCGGUGUCGGGUUCGCUCGUUAUCGUACAACUUGGUGACUCNGAAUAACUUUACGCUGAUCGCACGGUCAUCGCACCGGCGACGCAUCUUUCAAAUGUCUGCCUUAUCAACUGUCGAUGGUAGGUUCUGCGCCUACCAUGGUUGUAACGGGUAACGGGGAAUCAGGGUUCGAUUCCGGAGAGGGAGCCUGAGAAACGGCUACCACAUCCAAGGAAGGCAGCAGGCGCGCAAAUUACCCACUCCCGGCACGGGGAGGUAGUGACGAAAAAUAACGAUACGGGACUCAUCCGAGGCCCCGUAAUCGGAAUGAGUACACUCUAAACCCUUUAACGAGGAUCAAUUGGAGGGCAAGUCUGGUGCCAGCAGCCGCGG